rnacentral:rRNA from 1 species
GUGGGGAAUAUUGGACAAUGGGCGAAAGCCUGAUCCAGCCAUGCCGCGUGUGUGAAGAAGGUCUUCGGAUUGUAAAGCACUUUAAGUUGGGAGGAAGGGCAGUAAGUUAAUACCUUGCUGUUUUGACGUUACCGACAGAAUAAGCACCGGCUAACUUCGUGCCAGCAGCCGCGGUAAUACGAAGGGUGCAAGCGUUAAUCGGAAUUACUGGGCGUAAAGCGCGCGUAGGUGGUUUUGUAAGUUGGAGGUGAAAUCCCCGGGCUCAACCUGGGAACUGCUUUCAAAACUGCUGAGCUAGAGUACGGUAGAGGGUGGUGGAAUUUCCUGUGUAGCGGUGAAAUGCGUAGAUAUAGGAAGGAACACCAGUGGCGAAGGCGACUACCUGGACUGAUACUGACACUGAGGUGCGAAAGCGAGGGGAGCAAACAGGAUUAGAAACCCUGGUAGUCC